rnacentral:rRNA from 1 species
GAUGAACGCUAGCUACAGGCUUAACACAUGCAAGUCGCGGGACCGGCGCACGGGGGAGUAACGAGUAGCCAACCUGCCCUUCACCACGGGAUAACCCGGAGAAAGGCGGACGAAUACCGUAUGGUGAAGGAGGGGGAUGCGUCCGAUUAGCUUGACGGCGGGGUAACGGCCCACCGUGGCUACGCUCGGUAGGGGUUCUGAGAGGAAGGUCCCCCACACUGGAACUGAGACACGGUCCAGACUCCUACGGGAGGCAGCAGUGAGGAAUAUUGGUCAAUGGGCGUAAGCCUGAACCAGCCAAGUAGCGUGCAGGACGACGGCCUAUGGGUUGUAAACUGCUGUUAUGCGGGGAUAGGUACCGCAUGAAUAAGGACCGGCUAAUUCCGUGCCAGCCGCCGCGGUAAUUC